AGUUAAGCAAAGCGUCUAAAGACUGACUUGUGAGUCUAGAGAGGAAGAGACCUGUGUGGUUAAAAAACCUUUUCAACGUCUGGAUCCCAAGUUAUCAGCGAAAGAAGUUUUAAUCAUCUGGUCCAUUUGUUUUGGAGAGGAAGAGAACUCUGUGGAUAAUUUGGCUCACAGUAAAAACCUCCCGAACAUCUGGAUCAGGAAUAAGGUGUACUGGAACAGAAGCUGGAGCUGGACUGAACCAGCCAAUAGUCACUGUCAAAGUCAAAAUUCUUUCAUUAGAGCUACUUUUGUUACCAAAUACAAACAAAUUGCAGUGAUUGUUGUUUUGUCACAACAACAACAAAAAAAGUAUUUCCAAACAGUGUGUGUGGUGCAUCUGUCAAAGAUGUCACACAUGCUGCUCCACUCAGCAUCAGGCCCAUUUGGUGGUCGCCCUCUCAGGAAUGUGAAGACUGCAGUCACCUGAUGUUCUCCUGUGUGUACACUUAUGUCAUUGUCAUGGCACGGUGCUAUAUUAGACACUUAUGUCAAAUAGUGCAAAAUAAAGAGA